GAUGAACGCUAGCUACAGGCUUAACACAUGCAAGUCGAGGGACCGGCGCACGGGUGAGUAACACGUAUCCAACCUGCCCUUUACUCGGGGAUAGCCUUUCGAAAGAAAGAUUAAUACCUGAUAUAAAGGAUGGGGAUGCGUUCCAUUAGUUUGUUGGUGAGGUAACGGCCCACCAAGCCUUCGAUGGAUAGGGGUUCUGAGAGGAAGGCCCGCCACAUGGGAACUGAGACCCGGUCCAACCUCUGACGGAAGGCAGAAGUGAGGAAUAUGGGUCAAUGGGCGUUAGCCUGAACCAGCCAAGUAGCGUGAAGGAUGAAGGCUUAGGGGUCGUAAUCUUCUUUUGUAUAAGAAUAUGUGUUAUAUAAAUAAGGAUCGGCUAGCUCCGUGCCAGCCGCCGCGGUAAUAC
rnacentral:rRNA from 1 species